rnacentral:lncRNA from 1 species
CCCUCGCCUUCCUCCGGCCGCCAAUCAAGGCCGCUGGAUUGGACCUUGCCUGGACUCUACAAACUUUUAGCUGCCCACUCCCAGCGCUCCCACGCAACCCCCACCCCGCCAAGUCUGGGCUCCAAGUUCAAACUCAGAAGUGACUAAGCGCACUUUUCGCAAAACAAGCUCGAAAGUGGUGUAAACCACUUUCCUUGAUACACCUCCAGGCACCCCCACACCUUCUAGGCAUUACUCCCAGGGGCUUCAUAAUUCCAUUGAGACCCAGGAGAGAGCUCUGAAAUGUAGCUUCAGAGUCCCGAACACGUUGCUUCCCCUAAUAAAAUAAAGUAGGUCUGAACCCAGAGUGUCUGCAUGUCUAAUGAGCACCUGGGUAGAGCCUCCCAUUGGAAGGACCGUUUCCUGGGCGUGGUUUGCUGGGUGAAGCUCUGUGAUCAAGAUGGAGUCUCAUGUACAUUGCUGACCUCAAACUUGCCAGGUAGCCGAGGCUGGCUUUGAACUCUGGACGCUCCUGCCUAAGUCUCCCAACUGCUGAGGUUACAGGUGUUCAUCCACCAUGUCGAGACCUUUUACAACAUUUAUGAUAUCUGGGUUUCAUAAUGUUUCUCACUGACUCCCAAUCUCAUGUCUCCUUCAACUUCAAAGAUCUUGAGGGCAGGCACUAUACACCUAUCUUUCCUUACUACUGAAUCCAUGUACUAAACAGGUCUCAGGUCUGCAGUCAGGCAUGUGUUGGCUAAGUGAGCACAUGAGGUAACAAGGACUCAGAGGACGAGUGACCUCAGGGACCUAGUGAUUUCAUAAUUCUGAGGAGAGCAUUAUGUAACCCGACAGAGAUAUGAAUAGAUGAGCUUUCUGCCAGUGCUGCUUCCCUUUCUGAGAAAGGAGAAAUGAACCUGCUGCCUUCUGUCUUCUUAAUUUCCCCUAAGUUUGUCCAAGUUCUCUAUCUGUGACAGAUGUGCUGUCUUCUCUGUGUGUGCUAAAACAAGUAAAGGUCCCAACCAUCCCAAGGAGCCUGGAGCGACAGCACAGUUGAUAAAGUGUAGUGAGAAUUCUGGAGAUUUGGUUUAUUGAAAUAAA